GGGGGUCACGGCCUCUCCGGCCUCCGCGGGUUCCCGUGUCCCCCGAGGCAGCGGCGGCGGCGUCUCCCAGCGGGCGGCCCCUCCCUCCUGUGGGUCCCGCGGGGCCGCCGGCCUGGCCACCUGUGGCGGCUCCGGGACUCCGGGCCCCCCGCCGGCCCCCCUGCCCCUCCCCCGCGCCCCCUCCCCGCCAGCCCCUCCCCAGGGGUUGUCACUGAGCGCGCCUCCCCUGCCGGCGGGAGGACAGAGUAUGCACCUGCUGUGUGCGGGCGGCGUGGAGGGACCUGCCCACGGCGCGCCUGAACCCCGGACCAAUGGGAGCGCCUGGGGGGCGGGGAGGGGUUCCAGCCAGGCAGGGGGCUCCCAGCCCCGCAACGGCUCGGAAACGGGAGCGGGGAUGGGCGGGAGGGGGAUGGGGGCGAGCACUGCCCCCGAAAAGGAGGAGCCCAGAGCGGCCUGGGGACCGCCCCCGGGCUUUGGCAGCCGCGUGGGGAGGAGGGAGGUGACCCCGGUCAGCUCAGGCCUCCCUCUCCUGGAGAAGUGGGGGGGGCUCCCCUCCCCUCCUGCAGGACCCCGGGGGCUCCCCCUCCCCUCCUGCAGGACCCCGGGGGCUCCCCCUCCCCUCCUGCAGGACCCCGGGGGCUCCCCCUCCCCUCCUGCAGGACCCCGGGGGCUCCCCCUCCCCUCCUGCAGGACCCCGGGGGCUCCCCCUCCCCUCCUGCAGGACCCCGGGGGCUCCCCCUCCCCUCCUGCAGGACCCCGGGGGCUCCCCCUCCCCUCCUGCAGGGCCCCGGGGGCUCCCCCUCCCCUCCUGCAGGACCCCGGGGGCUCCCCCUCCCCUCCUGCAGGACCCCGGGGGCUCCCCUUCCCCUCCUGCACAAAGGCAGGCUCUCUGAGAGGUCCCAAGGCUUCCUUCUGCACCCAGCACCCCAUUUUCACCCUCUGAUUGCUUUGGGGCGCCAGCAGCCUUAAAGGGAGGCGCUGGGGAAACUGAGGCACAGGAUUGAAGGGAUUUGUCCAGAGGCGCACAGAGAGCUAGGAAGUGACCAAGCUGGCUGACGCCACCCUGCCCGGGAUGGCAGAAGACCAGGCGGCCCCCGAGCCCAUGGCUCAGCACUGCAACAGCAACACCUACCGGAGUGCCCAGCAUUCCCAGUCCCUGCUCAGUGGGCUCUUGGCCCUUCGGGACAGCGGCAUUCUUUUUGAUGUCGUCUUGGUGGUGGAAGGCAAACAAAUAGAAGCCCAUCGGAUCCUCCUGGCCGCUUCCUGUGACUACUUCCGAUUCCGUGACCCCGGAGGAGCGAGGGAGGCCGGCGAAUCUGCGCAGCUCCAGGGGGGGCCGGGGCAGCCCCGACCUGCCCCCUGCCCCUCCCCCCGUGGCAGCCAGAUCUAGCACCUGCCAUCUGACAGCCUUGGCUCGGGUCCUCCCCGCCUCCUCCUGAUGACUUGGCAGUGCCCUCUUGGAUCUUCUGCCCCGAGUCUCUCCGUCGGCAGCGCUGCCAGAGGGUUUGACCAAACAUAGAGCCGACUCCGACUCCGCCUCUCUGAAGCCGGCCUCCCGUCCGAGUGUGCCUGUCUCUGGUCCUGCCAUCCCGGCCUCUCAGCACCCCACUGCCAUCUCCAGUGGCGCCCCCUGGGCCUGUGCUGCCCUCCCUGAACUUGGAGGGAUGGAUCUGGGUUUUACACGGACUCAUGUCUUCCAGUGCUUCCUUUGGGGCAGUGACUGUUCCCAUCCUGCACUUCGAAGCGCGUGCCUGGCGGGCGGGAGCCACGGCGUCCACACUUCCCUGCAGUCUGAUGGAGCAGAUGCUCAGUUUACAGAUAAAUUCUCACUGCUGAUUGUUUUUACCUCCUGGCCCGGAGAGAAUAGAACACAGAACAGAGAGGAGACCAAAAUGAAGGGGCCGCCCGAAGUCCGGCCAGUCAGCCCCUCUCUGGGCCCAGACACCGAGGCGCAAAGGAGCCAGAGGCAGUGCCCACGGGGAGCUCCCGUUCUCAGGGCGCACCUUUAAAGAUCUGGCAGGGCUUCCUGGAGGAGGGGGUGCCUGGCUGAGCCCCAAAAGAAGUGUGGGUCCUGAGGGAAUGCAUUCUGGGCCCGGAGGAGAGCCUAUGGCACAUGGACGGGCGGAGGUUUGGCAGGACCCUAGAUUAGGCCCCAUGGAGAGAGCCAGUGAGGCAUAAGGGGCAAAAGUUGGAGGGUCACCUGGUGGUGGCAGGGAGCCCCUCCAGGUUCUUGAGCAGGGCAGCGACCCCCUCAGAGGACUUGCUAGCUGUGCUUGCUGGCUGUGUGUACGGCUGAGCUAGACACCUGAAUGCUCCCCUUCUGGAGGCCAGUGCUAACAGCUCCCCGCUAGCGCCUCCCCCCCAGGCUGUCGUCAGGGCCAUACAGGGAGAGCCCACCCCUUCUGUGUGCCAGUGGGACCCUGGCUGCUUAGGAGAGCCUCUACUGGGAGAGAGCCAGGGAGGCCGGGAGGGGAGGCCUGCCUCCAGUGUGUGAACCAGGGAGGGAUUUCUGGAGCCUUUAGCUCAGCCUCGGUGUCUGGGACAGAGGCUGGGGAUCUGGACCCCGGCGUCAGGGAGAAUUACUGCAGAGGAAAGCGGGUGACUUGGUCACCAUGACACGGUAGUGAGGAUGGCGGCGGGGUGGGUGUCGGCGUGCUCAUCCCGCUCCCCGGGCUUGUUCCUGCCUCGGCCCGUGCCUGCGCUCGCUUGCCUGUAUUCAGACUUUCUGCGAGUCCCCGGGACCCCCAAAGUGGACAGUGUCUGAACGCCCUCCCCUGGGGCUGGUGCGGGGAAAAGACGAGGGUUCAGAUCCAGAUUGAGAUUUGUCCUGGCUCUGCAGCCUCUGGCACCAGACUUGGCCUCUCUUUGCCACCGUUUCCUCCUCCAGCGAGAUGGUCUCUGGGGAGUCUUGAGUUCAGUGCCUGUAGUUGGUGCUUCCUAAGCUCUGUUAAGGGCCUGUGGGGCAGAGUGGGGGUGGGUGUGGGUAUCUCCAAUGCCGGCUGGAGAGAGCCAUGGGGAAGCCGGAGUGCCCGAGGGAGUGGGGGCCUCUUGUCCCUGGGUUCCAGCCUCGUCUUUUGGGUCUUCACUA
rnacentral:lncRNA from 1 species